rnacentral:rRNA from 1 species
GAAGGUCGAAGGAAGAAAUUCAUUCGCGUAUAUCGAUGCUGACGAUUAAUGUUUUGGAUGACAAAGGGCGCGUUAUGCGCCACUUGCAUCCGUCGUUUUUCGAUUCAGUGACGAACGCGUGCACUUUUCUUCUGGUAGAACGUCGCGAUCCGUUGGGUGUCGGUCUACGAUUUGUAGUGGAGCUCAAAUGUUACACUGCAGCUGCUCUUGUGGUAGUUGUAUUGUGGACACGUUUGAACCUGCAUUUCUCCGACCGACUUACCUGACGGUAUACAAACGGUUUAGGGCCGCUCUAGGAGCGUUCGACUCCGGGCAAGCGCGCCAGCUGCUUCGAUGACCGGACCUCGUGCCGAUCACGAUCACUGGUGACUGUUGGCUCGGAUGUUCUCGAACCGACCCUGUUAAAGUCCAUUGGAAAAACCGAUCAGCGGCGCUAUAGCUUUGGGUACUUUCAGGACCCGUCUUGAAACACGGACCAAGGAGUCUAGCAUGUACGCAAGUCAUUGGGAUUAAUUAAACCUAAAGGCGAAAUGAAAGUAAAAAUUCCUCUUGUGGGAAUAGAGGGAAGACGAACAGUUUUACCAGUAAACGGUGGCUGAUCUGCAUUCCCGGGGCGUCUCAUUCUCAUUGCGAGAAGAGGCGCACCAAGAGCGUACACGCUGGGACCCGAAAGAUGGUGAACUAUGCCUGGUCAGGAUGAAGUCAGGGGAAACCCUGAUGGAGGUCCGUAGCGAUUCUGACGUGCAAAUCGAUCGUCGGAACUGGGUAUAGGGGCGAAAGACUAAUCGAACCAUC